rnacentral:sRNA from 1 species
GCUGGGCAUUGUGGCACAUGCCUGUAGUCCUAGCUACCUGGAAGCUGAGAUGGGAGAAUCACAAGUCUGGCCAGGUUGGGCAAAUAGUGACAAGUGAGACUCCAUCUCA